rnacentral:misc_RNA from 1 species
AUUUCCAUUCUUUUAUCGUGAUUUUACAACCGGUUACCUAUACCAUCGUGAUCCUUGGAUCACGAUCUACACGUUGGUAUGCGUAUCUCUUCGAUUUUUUAUCGUUACAAGGAAAAAUUAACCGAAAACAAAGUAUUGAUCGAUGGAGGUAGGACGAGAUUUCUGGCACGUUCUCCCACCUACAGACCCCACCAUAACCUAACUCACACAAGCGUAACUUCCUCUUUCUCUGGCUCGAACGGUAAAAACGGUUAGGCUUUGUGCGUGUUAUAAACGAACGGCGUAACCUCGCCAGAUUCGUAUGUUUGUUUUGAUCGCUUAGGGGAAAGGGCCAUGGGAAGACGCAGUUUCUGAAAUCAAGGACAACGGAAGGUUGCCCUUAACUACGCCAUAUUCUCUGGGAAACGUUUCUAGAACAUCUUUCACCUUGGUAGUAUGGCAACCGCGGUGUAUUGAGAGACAUUUUUAGAAGCUCUCUUGCUGCGAGCCAGUUUGACGAGAAUCUUAUGAUCAAGCGUUCCUUAUAGAUUUCGCUUCUUAUAGAUAUAAGAUUGCAUUGCUGUUAGCCUAGAUAGAGUGGGAGAGGUGCAAACUACUGCGAGUUUUGAUGGCGUCGUUCCUGAAAAAUCGUUACUCUGGAAUCCAUAAGGGACGUUGUUGCGACGCAGUUUUUCCUGACACGUGGCUCCCAAUUCUGCGCAGUUUACUCGGACCUAUCUAUCAUCGCCGAAUACCUCGAGCAGGAAAACAACCGGAUCAUCAGUUUAAAAGAUCUGAAGGUGCGGUCGUGACAUGACGCAACCGAUGACAUCGCGUUUGCGAAUACACGAAUGGGAGGAUCACAAGACACUUAGCACGAUGACGUAUUUUAUAUUGAUGACGUCGAUUCUUUCGAACGUGUUUAUUAUAUCGUU